rnacentral:rRNA from 1 species
AUGGCGACCGCGGCGACGUCGAAGAAGGCGGCGAACCGGCUGGUGGUGGAGGAGGCCACCACCAACGACGACAACUCCGUGUGCAAUCUCCACCCCGACACCAUGGAGAAGCUCUCCAUAUACAAAGGCGACAUCGUGCUGCUCAAGGACAAACGCCGCCACAACACGGUCUGCAUGGCACUGCCCGACGACACCUGCGAGGGGCACAAGCUCAGGAUCAACAAGGUGGCCCGCUCCAACCUGCGCGUGCGCAUCGCCGACGUCGUGUCCGUGCACCUGUGCCACGACGCCAAGUUCGGCAAGCGCGUGCACAUCCUCCCUCUGGACGACAGCGUCGAGGGCAUCACGGGCAACCUCUUCGACGCCUACCUCAAGCCCUACUUCGUGGACGCCUUCCGCCCGGUCCACAAGGGCGACCUCUUCCUCGUGCGCGGCGGCAUGCGGAGCGUCGAGUUCAAGGUCAUGGAGAUCGACCCCGCGGCGGACUACUGCGUCGUGGCGCCCGACACGGAGAUAUUCUGCGAGGGCGAGCCCGUCAAGCGGGAGGACGAGGAGAGGCUGGACGAUGUCGGCUACGACGACGUGGGUGGCAUGGGGAAACCGUUGACUCUGAUCAGGGAGCUCGUCGAGUUGCCACUCAGGCAUCCGCAGCUUUUCAAGUCCAUUGGCGUUAAGCCUCCCAAGGGCAUCCUCCUCUACGGCCCUCCCGGGUCGGGCAAGACUCUGAUCGCCCGUGCGGUGGCCAACGAGACCGGGGCCUUCUUCUUCCUCAUCAACGGCCCGGAGAUAAUGUCCAAGAUGGCCGGAGAGAGCGAGAGCAACCUGAGGAAGGCCUUCGAGGAGGCCGAGAAGAACGCGCCCUCCAUCAUCUUCAUCGACGAGAUCGACUCCAUUGCCCCUAACAGGGAGAAGACUCACGGCGAGGUCGAGAGGCGCAUCGUCUCCCAGCUGCUGACGCUCAUGGACGGCAUGAAGGCCCGCGCGCACGUCAUCGUCAUGGGUGCCACGAACCGUCCCAACAGCAUCGACCCUGCCCUGAGGCGCUUCGGGAGGUUCGAUCGCGAGAUCGACAUCGGCGUGCCGGACGAGGUCGGGCGUCUCGAAGUGCUCCGCAUCCACACAAAAAACAUGAAGCUGGACAAGGACGUCAACCUACAGGUGAUUGCCAAGGAUACGCACGGCUACGUCGGUGCCGACUUGGCCGCGCUCUGCACCGAGGCGGCGCUGCAGUGUAUCAGGGAGAAGAUGGACGUGAUUGACUUAGAGGACGACACCAUUGAUGCCGAGAUCUUGAACUCCAUGGCCGUCACAAAUGGCCACCUUAAGACGGCUCUCGUGGGCACGAACCCGUCCGCGCUUCGUGAGACCGUUGUCGAGGUGCCCAACGUCAGCUGGACCGAUAUCGGUGGGCUUGACGGCGUCAAGAGGGAGCUGCAAGAGACCGUCCAGUACCCGGUCGAGCACCCAGAGAAAUUCGAGAAGUUCGGCAUGUCGCCGUCCAAGGGCGUCCUCUUCUACGGGCCACCAGGAUGCGGCAAGACCUUGCUGGCGAAGGCCAUCGCCAAUGAGUGCCAGGCCAACUUCAUCAGCAUCAAGGGGCCAGAGCUGCUCACUAUGUGGUUCGGCGAGAGCGAGGCCAACGUGCGCGAGAUCUUCGACAAGGCGCGUCAGUCCGCACCGUGCGUGCUGUUCUUCGACGAGCUCGACUCCAUCGCGACCCAGAGGGGCGGCAGGGUGGGCGACGCCGGCGGCGCGGCGGACAGGGUCCUGAACCAGCUGCUCACCGAGAUGGACGGCAUGAACGCCAAGAAGACGGUGUUCAUCAUCGGCGCCACCAAUAGGCCGGACAUUAUUGACUCGGCGUUGCUCCGUCCCGGCCGCCUCGACCAGCUCAUCUACAUCCCAUUGCCGGACGAGGCCUCGCGGCACCAGAUUUUCAAGGCCUGCCUCAGGAAGUCUCCGGUGGCCAAGGACGUCGACCUCGGCGCGCUUGCAAGGUUCACCGCCGGCUUUAGCGGUGCCGACAUCACGGAGAUCUGCCAGCGAGCGUGCAAGUACGCCAUCAGGGAGGACAUUGAAAAGGACAUGGAGAGGCAGAGGAUGGGAAAGACACCAUGGAGGUGGACGGCGGCCAGGAAGACGAGGUGGCUCAGAUUAAGGCGGUUCACUUCGAGGAGUCAAUGA